rnacentral:miRNA from 1 species
GGAUCUUGCUAUGUAGUUCAGGCUGGCCUUGAACUCACUAUGUAGCCCAGGCUGGCCUUGAACUCACAGCAAUCUUCCUGCCUCAGCCUCCCAAGUGCUGGGAUUACAGGCAUGCACCACCAUGCCUG